UACGUAGGGUGCAAGCGUUAAUCGGAAUUACUGGGCGUAAAGCGUGCGCAGGCGGUUAUUCAAGACAGAUGUGAAAUCCCCGGGCUUAACCUGGGAACCGCAUUUGUGACUGCAUAGCUGGAGUACGGCAGAGGGGGAUGGAAUUCCGCGUGUAGCAGUGAAAUGCGUAGAUAUGCGGAGGAACACCGAUGGCGAAGGCAGUCCCCUGGGCCUGUACUGACGCUCAUGCACGAAAGCGUGGGGAGCAAACAGG
rnacentral:rRNA from 1 species